rnacentral:rRNA from 1 species
CCUACGUGAGGCAGCAGUGAGGAAUAUUGGUCAAUGGACGGAAGUCUGAACCAGCCAUGCCGCGUGAGGGAUGAAGGUCUUCGGAUCGUAAACCUCUGUCAGCAGGGAAGAACGGUCACUGUGCUAAUCAGCAGUGAAUUGACGGUACCUGCAAAGGAAGCACCGGCUAACUCCGUGCCAGCAGCCGCGGUAAUACGGAGGGUGCGAGCGUUAAUCGGAAUUACUGGGCGUAAAGCGCUCGUAGGCGGUAUGUCAAGUCAAGGGUGAAAUCCCCGCGCUCAACGUGGGAACUGCCUUUGAAACUGGCAAACUGGAGUGUGUGAGAGGAUAGUGGAAUUCCAGGUGUAGGAGUGAAAUCCGUAGAUAUCUGGAGGAACAUCAGUGGCGAAGGCGACUAUCUGGCACAUAACUGACGCUGAGGAGCGAAAGCGUGGGUAGCAAACAGGAUUAGAUACCCGGGUAGUC